GGCCCCAAUAACUUGUCCCAGAGGGGAUGCCCAGGGCUCAGUUGCCUGAGGACAGCAGUGCAGUUGACAUGGAUAUUCUCUUUCCUCUGGACAGUGUUAUCGGUACAGAGCUGUGCCCCAGCCCCAUUCCCCAGAUCAUCCAUUUCGUCCUCUUUGUUGUGUUCAGCCUGGUGAUCCUGAUUAUCUUACGCCUCUACAUUCCCAGGGAGCCAUCCUCAGUGCCUCCCAGAGAGGAGGACAGCGAGAAUGAUCAAGCUGAAGUGGGGGAAUGGCUCAGGAUCGGAAAUAAAUAUAUCACUUUGAAAGAUUACAGAAUUCUCUUGAAAGAACUGGAGAACCUUGAGAUCUACACUUUCCUGUCGAAAAAGUGCCUGAAGAAGCUCUCUAGGGAGGGCAGCUCCCAUCACCUUCCACGCCAAGUCCGCCCAGGGCCAGUGUACAAACCAGCACCUGCUAGGAACCACCGGCCACGUGGGGGGCGUGGGAAAGCUUCUCCCACCAGCUUCCAUGUGUCCCCACGGGCUCCCCUGGCUCCUCUGGCCUCCAUGCCGUCAUCAGUCCCGAAGACCUCCGUAGAGUCCUUGGGGUCUCCAUCAUCCCUGAGCUCCUCCAAGCCACGAGAGCCUCUGUGUCCCCUGAAGCACCCUUCACACCAGCCACCUGCGAGCACCCUAUCACCAAACCCGACCAGCUCCACAGAAUCCUUGGGCCUGGAUGUGCCAACGCUGCUGGACGCAUAAGACACCAAAAUCCCAGACACUCCCAUGGACACCGAAUAUCCGACAUCCACGAACAAUUGGGAAUCUCCUGAGGACAACUUGGAGAUGGAGUCUCACUCUGUUGCUCAGGCUGGAGUGCAGUGGCACCAUCUUGGCUCACCACAACCUCCGCCUCCCGGAUUCAAGCCAUUCUC
rnacentral:misc_RNA from 1 species